AGUGAACGCUGGCGGUAGGCCUAACACAUGCAAGUCGAACGGCAGCACAGUAAGAGCUUGCUCUUACGGGUGGCGAGUGGCGGACGGGUGAGGAAUACAUCGGAAUCUACUUUUUCGUGGGGGAUAACGUAGGGAAACUUACGCUAAUACCGCAUACGACCUACGGUUGAAAGCAGGGGAUCUUCGGACCUUGCGCGAUUGAAUGAGCCGAUGUCGGAUUAGCUAGUUGGCGGGGUAAAGGCCCACCAAGGCGACGAUCCGUAGCUGGUCUGAGAGGAUGAUCAGCCACACUGGAACUGAGACACGGUCAAGACUCCUAAGGGAGGCAGCAGUGGGGAAUAUUGGACAAUGGGCGCAAGCCUGAUCCAGCCAUACCGCGUGGGUGAAGAAGGCCUUCGGGUUGUAAAGACCUUUUGUUGGGAAAGAAAAGCAGCAGGUUAAUACCCCGCUGUUCUGACGGUACCCAAAGAAUAAGCACCGGCUAACUUCGUG
rnacentral:rRNA from 1 species